UGGGAUAGCUCAGUCGGUAGAGCGUAAGAUCCUUAAUCUCAGGGUUGUGGGUUUGAGCCCCACACUGGGGAAAA